UGGGGAAUUUUGGACAAUGGGCGCAAGCCUGAUCCAGCAAUGCCGCGUGCAGGAUGAAGGCCUUCGGGUUGUAAACUUCUUUUAUAUGGGACGAAAAAGGGUCUUUCUAGAUCAACUGACGGUACCAUGUGAAUAAGCACCGGCUAACUCCGUGCCAGCAGCCGCGGUAAUACGUAGGGUGCGAGCGUUAAUCGGAAUUACUGGGCGUAAAGCGUGCGCAGGCGGUUAUAUAAGACAGAUGUGAAAUCCCCGGGCUCAACCUGGGACCUGCAUUUGUGACUGUAUAGCUAGAGUACGGUAGAGGGGGAUGGAAUUCCGCGUGUAGCAGUGAAAUGCGUAGAUAUGCGGAGGAACACCGAUGGCGAAGGCAAUCCCCUGGACCUGUACUGACGCUCAUGCACGAAAGCGUGGGGAGCAAACA
rnacentral:rRNA from 1 species